GACGAACGCUGGCGGCGUGCCUAAUACAUGCAAGUCGAACGAACCGCGACUGAGUGCUUGCACUUGGUCAAGGUGAGUGGCGAACGGGUGAGUAACACGUGGGUAACCUACCUCAUAGUGGGGGAUAACAGUCGGAAACGACUGCUAAUACCGCAUAGGACAUGGAAUCACAUGAUUCUGUGAGGAAAGGUGGCGCAAGCUAUCGCUAAGAGAUGGACCCGCGGUGCAUUAGCUAGUUGGUAGGGUAACGGCCUACCAAGGCGAUGAUGCAUAGCCGACCUGAGAGGGUGAUCGGCCACAUUGGGACUGAGACACGGCCCAAACUCCUACGGGAGGCAGCAGUAGGGAAUCUUCCGCAAUGGACGCAAGUCUGACGGAGCAACGCCGCGUGAGUGAGGAAGGUCUUCGGAUCGUAAAGCUCUGUUGUUAGAGAAGAACAGCGCAUAGAGUAACUGUUAUGCGUUGACGGAUCUAA
rnacentral:rRNA from 1 species